rnacentral:rRNA from 1 species
ACACUCCUGCGGGAGGCAGCAGUGGGGAAUAUUGCACAAUGGGCGCAAGCCUGAUGCAGCCAUGCCGCGUGUAUGAAGAAGGCCUUCGGGUUGUAAAGUACUUUCAGCGGGGAGGAAGGCAAUACGGUUAAUAACCGUGUUGAUUGACGUUACCCGCAGAAGAAGCACCGGCUAACUCCGUGCCAGCAGCCGCGGUAAUACGGAGGGUGCAAGCGUUAAUCGGAAUUACUGGGCGUAAAGCGCACGCAGGCGGUCUGUCAAGUCGGAUGUGAAAUCCCCGGGCUCAACCUGGGAACUGCAUUCGAAACUGGCAGGCUUGAGUCUUGUAGAGGGGGGUAGAAUUCCAGGUGUAGCGGUGAAAUGCGUAGAGAUCUGGAGGAAUACCGGUGGCGAAGGCGGCCCCCUGGACAAAGACUGACGCUCAGGUGCGAAAGCGUGAGGAGCAAACAGGAUUAGAAACCCUAGUAGUCCCAUGA